rnacentral:rRNA from 1 species
AGAGUUUGAUCCUGGCUCAGCGCGAACGCUGGCGGCAUGGCUAAAACAUGCAAGUCGAACGCGAAAGGGGACUUCGGUUCCCGAGUAGAGUGGCGAACGGGCGAGUAAUGCGUUUCUAACGUGCCCCGAGGUCAGGGAUAGCCCAGGGAAACCUGGAUUAAUACCUGAUGACCCCCCGACGUCGUAUGGCGAUGGGGGCAAAGGCUUGCUGCCUCGGGAUCGGGAAACGUCCUAUCAGGUUGUUGGUGAGGUAACGGCUCACCAAGCCUAAGACGGGUAGCGGGUGUGAGAGCACGACCCGCCGCAUCGGGACUGAGACACUGCCCGGACUCCUACGGGAGGCUGCAGUAACGAAUAUUCCGCAAUGCACGAAAGUGUGACGGAGCAAUGCCGCGUGUGGGAUGAAGCCCUUCGGGGUGUAAACCACUGUCAGGGGUUAGAAAGUUCUGAUCAGCCCCAAAGGAAGAGCCGGCUAACUCUGUGCCAGCAGCCGCGGUAAUACAGAGGGCUCGAGCGUUGCGCGGAAUCACUGGGCUUAAAGCGUGCGCAGGCGGACCCGUCAGUACCUUGUGAAAUACCACGGCUCAACCGUGGAAUUGCUUGGUAUACUGCGGGUCUUGAGAUCGGUAGAGGUUGUCGGAACUCUAGGUGGAGCGGUGAAAUGCGUAGAUAUCUAGAGGAACGCCAAAGGUGAAGACAGGCAACUGGACCGAUUCUGACGCUCAUGCACGAAAGCGUGGGUAGCGAACGGGAUUAGAUACCCCGGUAGUCCACGCCCUAAACGAUGCGCACUAGAUCGUGGAGGUUUUGACGCCAUCGCGAUCGAAGCAAAAGUGUUAAGUGCGCCGCCUGGGGAGUACGGUCGCAAGGCUAAAACUCAAAGGAAUUGACGGGGGCUCACACAAGCGGUGGAGCAUGUGGCUUAAUUCGAAACAACGCGAAGAACCUUAUCCUGGGCUUGACAUGUAUGGAUUAGCUUCCCGAAAGGGAAGUGACACCCUUGGGUGGAACAUACACAGGUGCUGCAUGGCUGUCGUCAGCUCGUGCUGUGAAGUGUCGGGUUAAGUCCCUUAACGAGCGAAACCCCUAUCGUUAGUUGCCAGCGAGUCAUGUCGGGGACUCUAACGAGACUGCCGGUGUCAAACCGGAGGAAGGUGGGGAUGACGUCAAGUCCUCAUGGCCCUUAUGCCCAGGGCUGCACACGUGCUACAAUGCCGCGUACAAAGCGAAGCGAGACCGCAAGGUGGAGCAAAUCGCAAAAAGCGCGGCCCAGUUCGGAUUGUGGUCUGCAACUCGACCACAUGAAGUUGGAAUCGCUAGUAAUCGCGUAUCAGCUACGACGCGGUGAAUACGUUCCUGAGCCUUGUACACACCGCCCGUCAAGUCAUGGAAGCCGGGAGUACCCGAAGCCGCCACGAUUCAGUGGUGUCGACGGUAAGUUCGGUGACUGGGACUAAGUCGAAACAAGGUA